GGUCGAUCUUCAUGUAAAUAUUGCAAUAGAUGCAAAAAUGCAAUCUUGUAAAUUGUAUGGUAAUAUUAUGUUCUUGAGGCAAUUAUUCGUCAUAAAUGUACUAGUUACAUGCGCUAAAUUCCUUAACCUUUUAGUAUAUAUACUGAAAGUGUACACUGUUAACGCUAGAGGAAAUGAGGAUGUGACUGAACUAAUGGUCUAGCACAACUUGAUAACUGUACAACUAUAAA